UGGCGGACGAGUGAGUAACGCGUAUCCAACCUGCCCUUUACUAUGGGACAGCCCGUCGAAAGGCGGAUUAAUACCGUAUGUUGUCAUGUUGAUGCAUAUUUUCAUGACCAAAGGCUUCGGCCGGUAAAGGAUGGGGAUGCGUCUGAUUAGCUUGCCGGCGGGGUAACGGCCCACCGGGGCGACGAUCAGUAGGGGUUCUGAGAGGAAGGUCCCCCACAUUGGAACUGAGACACGGUCCAAACUCCUACGGGAGGCAGCAG
rnacentral:rRNA from 1 species